rnacentral:rRNA from 1 species
CCAAUAGCGUAUAUUAAAGUUGUUGCAGUUAAAAAGCUCGUAGUUGAAUUUCGGGGUUCAUCCGUUGGUCGGGCUUUUUGGUCUGUACUGGCGUGAUGGAUUCCUACCUUCUGAAUAACCAGCAUGUCAUUAAUUUGGUGCGCCGGGGAAGCAGGACUGUUACCUUGAAAAAAUUAGAGUGCUUAAAGCAGGCUAUCGCCUGAAUACAUUAGCAUGGAAUAAUGAAAUAGGACGGCAUGGUUCUAUUUUGUUGGUUUCUAGGAUCACCGUAAUGAUUAAUAGGGAUAGUUGGGGGCAUUAGUAUUCAAUUGUCAGAGGUGAAAUUCUUGGAUUUAUUGAAGACUAACUUCUGCGAAAGCAUUUGCCAAGGAUGUUUUCAUUAAUCAAGAACGAAAGUUAGGGGAUCGAAGACGAUCAGAUACCGUCGUAGUCUUAACCAUAAACUAUGCCGACUAGGGAUCGGACGAUGUUAAUUUUUUAAUGACUCGUUCGGCGCCUUACG